GAGUUUGAUUCUGGCUCAGAACGAACGCUGGCGGCGCGCUUAAGCAUGCAAGUCGAACGGCAAGAGGUAGCAAUACCUCCUAGAGUGGCGGACUGGUGAGUAACACGUGGGUGACAUACCCUUCAGAUGGGGAUAGCUAUUAGAAAUAGUAGAUAAUACCGAAUACGAGCACAGGGGUUAGAGAUCUGUGAGGAAAGGAGCUAAGGCUCCGCUGAAGGAAUGGCCUGCGGCCCAUUAGCUAGUUGGUGAGGUAAGAGCCCACCAAGGCGAUGAUGGGUAUCCGGCCUUAGAGGGUGAACGGACACAUUGGGACUGAGAUACGGCCCAGACUCCUACGGGAGGCAGCAGCUAAGAAUAUUCCGCAAUGGACGAAAGUCUGACGGAGCGACGCCGCCGUGGAUGAAGAAGGCCGGAAGGUUGUAAAAUCCUUUUGAAACUGAAGAAUAAGCGUUGUAGGGAAUGACAGCGUGGUGACAGUAGGUUUUGAAUAAGCAACGGCUAAUUACGUGCCAGCCGCCGC
rnacentral:rRNA from 1 species